rnacentral:rRNA from 1 species
GGGGAAUAUUGCACAAUGGAGGGAACUCUGAUGCAGCGACGCCGCGUGAACGAUGAAGGCUUUCGGGUCGUAAAGUUCUGUCCUAUGGGACGAUAAUGACGGUACCAUAGGAGGAAGCCCCGGCUAACUACGUGCCAGCAGCCGCGGUAAUACGUAGGGGGCGAGCGUUGUCCGGAAUUAUUGGGCGUAAAGGGUACGCAGGCGGCCAUGUAAGUCAGAUGUGAAAGGUCACGGCUCAACCGUGGUAAGCAUUUGAAACUGUGUGGCUUGAGUUAAGGAGAGGAAAGUGGAAUUCCUGGUGUAGCGGUGAGAUGCGUAGAUAUCAGGAGGAAUACCAGUGGCGAAGGCGACUUUCUGGACUUAUACUGACGCUGAGGUACGAAAGCGUGGGGAGCAAAC